AUUUGGGCAGUUUCUUCCAGGUAAUAUGUGACAGGAAUCUCUAAUACAUCUUGUUUGUAUAUGCAUGUGGUCUGUAUUAUUUAUGUGAGGAAUAAUUGAGGCUAAAAUAUAUCUUGCUCUUCUUGACUUGUUAUAGAAAAAAAUCUUUCUUUAAUCAACAAAGAUCUAUCUUCUGCCUUUCAAGGAUAGAAUAACAACUUCUUUCCUUUAAAUAUUUGCAGAGGGGAGAAGGCAUUUUGUAGUGCAGAGUGUCGUUGCACACAAAUAUCCAUGGAUGAACACAAAGAGAAAUGUGGUUCUGGAGCCAUGAAGUCGCUUAGCGACUACUCUGUCUCUCCUUGCUCGGGUGCAAUGCAGUUUUUCACUGGCGUGGCCGUGGCAUAACAACUCAAAAUUGUAUGCCACGGCCACGCCAUGAAGUCGCUUAGCGACUACUCUGUCUCUCCUUGCUCGGGUGCAAUGCAGUUUUUCACUGGCGUGGCCGUGGCAGAACAACUCAAAAUUGUAUGCCACGGCCACGCCAUGAAGUCGCUUAGCGACUACUCUGUCUCUCCUUGCUCGGGUGCAAUGCAGUUUUUCACUGGCGUGGCCGUGGCAGAACAACUCAAAAUUGUAUGGUACCUUCAACUUUACAUAAAUGAAUAAAAGGGGCGAUAUAUAGGUUUCGAAAGAUAUCCUGAAUAAAAAUUGGUACCACCGGCUUAAGAAAGAUGUUAGAUUUAUAUGUCAAGGACAUUCUAAGCAUGCAAUCUCUGCAACUCGAAGAGUAGGAAAAAACAUUGUGGGAAAAGCAUGUAAUGAAGUUUGUUAGAAAUUAAAUAGUAUAUACUAUGAAGUUGGAAUACAAUAUUGCAGUUUUCAGUUUG
rnacentral:lncRNA from 1 species